UACGGAGGGUGCGAGCGUUGUCCGGAAUCACUGGGCGUAAAGGGCGCGUAGGCGGCGCGGUAAGUCUGCUGUGAAAGUCCAGGGCUCAACCCUGGAAUGCCGGUGGAUACUGUCGAGCUCGAGUCCGGAAGAGGCGAGUGGAAUUCCUGGUGUAGCGGUGAAAUGCGCAGAUAUCAGGAGGAACACCAAUGGCGAAGGCAGCUCGCUGGGACGUGACUGACGCUGAGACGCGAAAGCGUGGGGAGCAAACAGG
rnacentral:rRNA from 1 species